GUCCCCGUAGCUCAGUUGGUAGAGCAUGGUGUUUGCAACGCCAGGGUUGUGGGUUCGAUUCCCACGGGGGGCC
rnacentral:tRNA from 1 species